rnacentral:rRNA from 1 species
GUGGGGAAUAUUGGACAAUGGGCGCAAGCCUGAUCCAGCCAUACCGCGUGGGUGAAGAAGGCCUUCGGGUUGUAAAGCCCUUUUGUUGGGAAAGAAAUCCUGUCGGUUAAUACCUGGCGGGGAUGACGGUACCCAAAGAAUAAGCACCGGCUAACUUCGUGCCAGCAGCCGCGGUAAUACGAAGGGUGCAAGCGUUACUCGGAAUUACUGGGCGUAAAGCGUGCGUAGGUGGUGGUUUAAGUCCGUUGUGAAAGCCCUGGGCUCAACCUGGGAAUUGAAGUGGAUACUGGAUCAAUAGAGUGUGGUAGAGGGAUGCGGAAUUUCUGGUGUAGCAGUGAAAUGCGUAGAGAUCAGAAGGAACAUCCGUGGCGAAGGCGGCAUCCUGGGCCAACACUGACACUGAGGCACGAAAGCGUGGGGAGCAAACAGGAUUAGAUACCCGUGUAGUCC